AUUGAACGCUGGCGGCAGGCUUAACACAUGCAAGUCGAGCGGAGAGAGGUAGCUUGCUACUGAUCUUAGCGGCGGACGGGUGAGUAAUGCUUAGGAAUCUGCCUAUUAGUGGGGGACAACAUUUCGAAAGGAAUGCUAAUACCGCAUACGUCCUACGGGAGAAAGCAGGGGAUCUUCGGACCUUGCGCUAAUAGAUGAGCCUAAGUCGGAGUAGCUAGGUGGUGGGGUAAAGGCCUACCAAGGCGGCGAUCUGUAGCGGGUCUGAGAGGAUGAUCCGCCACACUGGGACUGAGACACGGCACAGACUCCUACGGGAGGCAGCAGUGGGGAAUAUUGGACAAUGGGCGGAAGCCUGAUCCAGCCAUGCCGCGUGUGUGAAGAAGGCCUUAUGGUUGUAAAGCACUUUAAGUGAGGAGGAGGCUACUUUAGUUAAUACCUAGAGAUAGUGGACGUUACUCGCAGAAUAAGCACCGGCUAACUCUGUGCCAGCCGCCGCAGUAA
rnacentral:rRNA from 1 species